rnacentral:rRNA from 1 species
AUGGGCCCUCAACACCCAUCAAUGCAUGGUGUUCUUCGACUGAUCAUUACUCUCGAUGGUGAGGAUGUUAUUGAUUGUGAACCCAUAUUAGGCUAUUUACACAGAGGAAUGGAAAAAAUCGCGGAAAACCGAACUAUUAUACAAUACUUACCUUAUGUAACAAGGAUAUAG